ensembl:lncRNA
CUAGCAAUGGCCUCCUAUGUCCAGCAAGGUGAUGGGAAGGACAUUUGAGGCCAUCUGGUUUUUUUCUUUACAGAUGAGAAAAUUGAGGCUAGCAAGGUUAAGAGAUUUAUUUAAGGUCCCAGAGGCAGGAGGAGACAAGAGACAGUUUUUCGACCAUAGUGGUUAGGAGCCAGGCUAUUUGAAGGCAGGCUCCUGGGUUUGAGGCCACACUUGCAGUUUGUGUGAUUUGUAGAAAGCUAUUUAAGUUCUUCAAGUCACCAUUUUCUCAUUAUAACGUUAUAAAGGGCUUCCCUGAUGGUUCAAGCAGUAAAGCACCUGCCUGCAAUUCAGGAGACAUGGUUUCAAUCCCCGGGUCAGGAAGAUGCCCUGGAGAAGGAAAUGGCAACCCACUCCAGUAUUCUUGCCUAGAAUCCCCAUGGACAAAGGAUCCUGGAUGGCAUGGAUCCAGGAUCAGGAUCCAGUCCACGGGGUCACAAAGAGUUGGACACUGCUGAGCUCACAUGCACAUAAAAUUGUGAAGAUCGAGUGAGAUAAUCUGUAUAAAGCAGUUAGCAUGGCACUCACUGGGAUGCUUUCAGCUCUAUAUAACAGAAGACCCCACUAAGAGUACCCCAGAAAACAACAUUAAGGAGUUACAAUGAUAAGCUCAGAACUGGGGCUGCUCUCAGUCUGGUCAAGGAGGUUCUCAUGUCAUCAGGGACUCAUGCUCUCCAUGUUCUGCUGUACCAUCUGCAAUGUAGUCUCCCCUGAUGGAUGCAGAAUGAAAGACGACACUCCCGGCAGCACCACCUCCGGCAACAGCAAUCAGAAGGAGAGCAGGUUGGUAGAUUCUCCCCAAGACACCCCUUACGUCAAGGAAGAAGAUUUUUCCCAGAAGCCCCCUUGCGUUUCC